CGCAUAUCGUCUGGAUUUUCUAUUUUGUUUCAUGACAGGUUGCUGGAUUAGGCAUUUUGAUAAAAUACAAAAGCACAUGUACAGAGUACAGACUCCGGUUUACAUCUGAUACAGGUUGAAUUUCAAGCUGGAACUUUUAAAUUUCGCAGUUGUUUUACUUAUAUAAAGAAUGCAUAUAUGAUCUCCAGAUUUGUUACGUAAAUAUUUUUUCACAAAUGAAAUGGAAUAUAACGACUGAAUUAUUCGGGUUAACAGUUUACAAGGUUUGUCCGACUUGUUGAGCAACCAAGUAACACAUUUACACCACGCAGAGUACACUAUACUACAUGUAUUGUAUGUACCAAGUCAAGAAUAUGACAGCUGUUUAUCAUUCUUUUGAUGUUU
rnacentral:lncRNA from 1 species